AUGCUUCCUGAUGAUGAAGAAGAAGAAGUGCCUCUACAGGAGAGGAGGAGGAGAGGUGGGGGCUCGAGCAGGAGAAAGCUUGAAGUUCAAGUCCCUCAGUCGACGCCGACGCUUGAGGUAGUGGUCGAGCGUUCCGGAGAUCCGGUUCAGACCAACAUCACGUUUGCCAGCCCGCUGAUGACUGAUCGUCCGUCGGGGUCGACUGCUCCGGUUACCGCCGCUCCAGUGCAACUCCACUCAUUUGACCCAGUAGCUGCUUCGGACGCCUUGGAGCCAUCACUCUUUACUACAUAUCUGACCCCAGACGAUUCGCCAAGUGCUGUCAGGGAGGCUCUUCGCCAGGUGAACCUUGUCAUGGAGCAGGUGAAGGUGAUGCACGAGGCUAGUCAGGUGGCUUAUAACGCCAGCACCGCCCUGUAG
rnacentral:rRNA from 1 species